rnacentral:lncRNA from 1 species
GCACAGCAGACAUAUGAUGUAUCCAACACAUAGCUCCAUCCAUGACAACAUACAUACAUAAUAAGAAACAGAGUUCCAUCCAUACAUAUUACAGUAACAUCACAAUGUUCAUCCAACACAUUGUUCCAUGCAUGCAUCCAUAUAACAAAGUUCCACAUUUUUUAUCGAUACGAACGAAAAAAAGAAAAGGGAAACAAGCACUCCAUCCAUGCAAGCUUCCAUAUAGUGAAUUAAAUCUGCAAAAUGGGAAACAAGAAAGUUAGAAGAAGAAGACUAGAAUCAGAAGAAGAAGAAGAAGAAGAAGAAGAAGAAGAAGAAGAAGAAGAAGAAGAAGAAGAAGAAGUAAGCAUACUUAGGUAAAAUGGAGCUAACCUAGCUAAUUGUGCCAUUUUUGAGUGAACUAAGCAUAUUAUGCCAUUUUUGAUAUAACUUAGAGCUAACUUCAUUUUGGAGAAGAAGAAGAAAACUAGAAGAAGAAGAAGACUAGAAGAACUUCUUCAUUUUCUUCUUCUUCUCUUCCUCUUCCUGGAUUUUCUUCAUCUUAUUAUGUCAUUUAUGGACUAAAUAAGCUAAAUUAUGUCAUAAAUGGACUAAAUAGGCUAAAUAAGAAGAAAAAUGCCAUUUUUGAGCUUACCUAGCUAAUUAUGCCAUUUUUGACCUAACUAAGCAUAUUAUGCCAUUUUUGAUAUAACUUAGAGCUAACUUCAUUUUGGAGAAGAAGAAGAAGAAAACUAUAAUAAUAAUAAUAAUAAUAAUAAUAAUAAUAAUAAUAAUAAUAAGACUAGAAGAAGAAGAAGAUCUUCCUAUUCCUUGAUUUUCUUCAUCUUAUUAUGUCAUUUGUGGACUAAAUAGGCUAAAUUAUGUCAUAAAUGGACUAAACACGCUAAAUAAGAAGAAAAAUACCGUUAUGACGGAGGUGUAGGAAUGGUCGGGGCUGCGCCAGUGCCAGACGGAGAUGAAGGACCGGUCGGGGUUCCGGCAUUGGCAGAAGGAGUGG